GAAAAUCUCACCAACAAAACCCCCCCACCCUCCUUCGUCCACCUCCUCCCGUCGUCUCUGGCCCCAACCCCCCAAUCCCCGUUCACCCCCGAAUCCGAUCGCUCGCGCCGCCGACUCCAAUCCGGUACCCGUCCCUCCUCCGAUCCGAACCCGGCGGCCGCCGAUAGCGAUUCCGAUCGCCGCCGCCACCGGACGUCGGUGAUCUUCCCCCGCAGUGGAUGGAUAGCAGCUCGAGAAGGGAGGGAUCGACGAGCCGCUGCUGAGGGUAGAAAGAGAAGAUGCCAGGCCUGUUGCAGAGGAACACAGAAUUCGGCAAUGCUCCGCCGCCGCACGCCGCUGCCGGGUCCACGUCCGCCAACGGAAUCUGGUCCAAGCACCGGGACGACAUCACCAUCGAUCAGCUCCAGAAGUUAUGGAGUGAGCUACCCCGUCAGGCUCGGCAGCAGCUCCUGAGGAUAGAUAAGCACACCCUCUUUGAGCAAGCUCGCAAGAACCUUUAUUGUUCCAGGUGCAAUGGUUUGCUACACGAUGGGUUCACACAGAUUGUCAUGUAUGGGAAGUCAUUGCAGCAGGAAGGUGUGGGUAUGCACCUUCCUAAUAAAAUAGGGACCUCCAAGACUCAGAAUGAUAGCAAAUUAGAUGAAGCGCAGGAUCUGUCUAUGCAUCCUUGGGGAGGCCUGGCAGCAACCAAGGAUGGUAGACUAACACUUCUUGACUGCUUUAUAAAUGCAAGGUCACUGAAGACUCUCCAGAAUGUUUUUGACAGUGCCCGAGCAAGGGAACGUGAACGUGAACUGCUUUACCCUAAUGCAUGUGGUGGGGGAGGCAGGGGAUGGAUUAGUCAUGGGAUGGAUAACUAUGGCAGAGGGCAUGGAAUUCGUGAAACCUGUGCUUUGCACACUGCCAGACUUUCUUGUGAUACCCUAGUGGAUUUCUGGUCUGUGCUGGGUGACGAAACUAGAUCAUCUCUUCUAAGGAUGAAGGAGGAGGAUUUCAUGGAUAGACUUACGUUCAGGUUUGACAGCAAGAGGUUUUGCAGAGAUUGCCGAAGAAAUGUCAUCCGUGAAUUCAAAGAGUUGAAGGAACUAAAGCGCAUGCGAAGGGAACCCCGCUGUACUAGUUGGUUUUGUGUUGCAGAUACAGCUUUCCAAUAUGAGGUAUCAGAGGACACUGUCCAAGCUGAUUGGCACAAGUCAUUUGUGGACAUGAUUGGAACAUAUCAUCAUUUUGAAUGGGCAAUUGGAACAGGAGAAGGAAAAUCAGACAUUUUAGACUUCAAAGAUGUUGGGAUUAAUGAAAAGGUGCAGGUGAAUGGACUUGAUCUUGGUAGUUUGAGUGCAUGCUUUAUUACACUGAGGGCUUGGAAGGUUGAUGGCUGUUGCACUGAGCUCUGUGUAAAGGCACAUGCAUUGAAGGGACAACCAUGCAUCCAUCACAGGCUAAUAGUAGGGGAUGGAUUUGUAACAAUAACUAAAGGGGAAAGUAUCAGAAGGUUUUUUGAGCAUGCUGAAGAAGUUGAGGAAGAAGAGGAUGAUGAUGCUAUGGACAAGGAUGGAAAUGAACCUAAUGAUGAUGAAAUCCGUCCGCAGAAGCAUGCGAAGAGUCCUGAGCUUGCACGAGAAUUCCUUCUAGAUGCUGCAGCAGUAAUAUUCAAAGAACAGGUAGAAAAGGCUUUCCGAGAAGGUACAGCUAGACAAAAUGCACACAGUAUGUUUGUUUGUCUUGCCCUCAAAUUGCUGGAAGAGCGUCUUCAUGUUGCUUGCAAAGAGAUUAUUACAUUAGAAAAGCAGACCAAGCUUCUAGAGGAGGAAGAAAAUGAGAAACAUGAAGAAGAAGAGCGCAAGGAGAGGAGGAGGACAAAAGAAAGGGAAAAAAAACUUAGAAGGAAAGAGAGGCUAAAAGGAAAGGAAAGGGAAAGAGAAAAGAAACUUAUUGAGCCAAAAUCACUUAGUGAGGAUUCACCAUGCUCUUCGAAUGAUUUGCUCACAAGUACACAUGAUAAGUCCACCGCUUUCGACUCUGGGAAUUCAGUUAGUGAACCAGGAGAUAUGCCUAUUUCUCCUAAUGUUACAGAUGAACAAACCUCAAGCGGCAAUAUCAGUACAAAGAACCUGAAGAGUGAUAGUCUACAGCAUCGAUGUUAUAUUGAUGGAGAGCUUGGUGCUAGGGAUGGAAAUGGCUCUUUUGUACUUGAGCAGUCCAAAUCAUCAAGGAGGAAAUUGAGAUUCAGAAAAGAUUAUCUUCUGGAUCAGGCUUCUAGUUGGUAUGACAAGCACCAAUCUUGCAUUAGCAAUAUUCAGCAACAUGAUUCUGAUUCAAAUGGAUGCACAUUGUCUCUAUCUAGGGACAUGAUUGGGCUUCCCAGGCCAUCAAAAGAAAGGGUUGUCAAGGGCAGUGCUAGAAAUUGCAAUCUGAAAGGCCGUGAUAAACUCCACAGUUCAAACAGCAGAAUGCGAGAUGGAUUUGACUUCCAGUUCUGUAGCUGCAACCAACAGGCUGAUUACAAAGGAAAGGAUGGUAAUCAAAUUUUUACAGUCAGAUCAGGUAGUGAGAUCAAGAUUGCACAUAAAACAAAAGGCACACCUGAUAUGUCUAGGCCGUUCUAUCAAAGUGUUAAAUACAGACAGGGUUGCCAUGUGCCAGAUACUGUUGUCAUUUCAAAGGGAAAGCUUGUUGGAGGUACACAUGGCAAGGAUGUUUUCAAUACAAAACAAGUUUGGGAACCGCUGAAUGCACAUACAAAGUGCUCUGGAAGCAGUUCUGAUCCUGACUUUACUUUGGGAACCACUUCUAAGGUUGAUCCAUCUGAAGGAACUAGAUUUGAUAAAGAUGAGAAUGGAUGCCAGCAACCAUGUAGUGUGCUUGAAUCACUACAUCUCUGCUUCUCUGAGCAUUCUGCAAGUUCAGGAAAAGCUGAAUCUUUGAGUAGUUGUCAACUUCAUGAGAAUGGCGGGAAGAACUCUGAUAAAUCUGUUUUAAGUGGCCACAAUGGUAGUCAGAAUGGAUUUGUCCCAGUAGCAAAGUCAGAUUGCUACUCAAAGAAUGGUGCAAAGGAGGAAGUUGGCUCAUGUCCCAUGUCUACAUUUCCAAUGAAUAAUACUUGCGAUCUUGUAACAAACUCAUCUAGUUCGGAUAAAUGCUCAUCAUGUCUUAGUGAGGGAGACAGCAGCACCAGUUCCCCAAGCGCUCAAAAUGCAGAGUCAUCAUCAAUUUCAGAUUCAGAAGAUGCUAGCCAACAAUCUGAUGGCAGAGAUAUAUCAAUAUGCGAUGGAAAUAAUUUUCGCAAAUUUCUGGAUGAAUCUGCAGAAAGCAAUCACCAGACAAAUGGAUGCAAAUCUUUCACCAGGACAACUACAGGGUUUGCAGCAGAGAGCUGGCUGCUGCCAAACUUUUGGAGGGAAAGUUCAAGAAAAGCUGUCCACAGUUCUGAUAAUGGUCGGUUUGGAUUUGAUAUGGCUCCUUCUCAGCCGCACAUUUUAUCGGUGCAUAACCAAAGCAUCCAUGUGCCAUUCUUUCCUUGUCCAACCAUGGGGUAUCAUAAUCAUAGUGCAGCUUCUUGGUCACCUACUCGCGCCACUGAAUUGAUGCCAUUUUACCAGCCCAACCAAUACUUACUCCAUAGCCAUCCAGGAUACAACCUACAUGCAAACCGAUCCUCAAAUUUCUGUAUGCGGUACAGUACCCUUCAACCUUUAUCAGCUCCUGCAUUUGAUGGAAACCAACUUUCCUUUUACCAGACUGCUAAUGGAGUCAAGAAUGCAAGCUCAAAGGAGCAAUGCAGUAAUCUUGGUUCAUGUGGAUUCCAAGAGGUCAGUGCUGUUGCCGAGCUGAUAGAAGGUAACUGUCCUCAGGAAAGGUCAUUUCCAAGUAGACAUGUUCCUCCAAAAACACCAUCAGUGGGACAAAAUGGAAGUGUUGAAAAUGCUGCUAAAUCACAUAAUGGCAGUCCAUCCUUCUCGUUAUUUCACUUUGGUGGUCCAGUGGAUGGGGUUGCUGCAGGGAUCAAUCUGGAUCCACUUUAUUUGAAAGAAGACACUACGGGAGGAUUCAUCUCUAAGUUACCUGCAGCUCAGGCUCAUGCAUGCUCAAAUGAAGAGACAGAGAUUGAAGAGUACAGCUUGUUUUCGGGUAGAAAUGGUGCUAGAUUUUCAUUCUUCUAGUGCAGUCCAUAUAGUGGCUGCAAGGGGGCUGGUGGAGCGUUCAUCUGCUUUACUGCUUCAGUUGUGAAUGCUAUCACUUGUAUGUGGUAAAAAUAAUCUUUCUCAAAAAUUUUAGUAUAUUUUCAUCUGUUGAUGCUUCCAAUUUGUGUUUUAUUGUUUUCAGAUUGUAGAAAAAAAUGCGAGUGAUAUAGCUUUCUUUCAAAACAAGUGAUCGCCCUCUUGAUUCUGUAGUGGUGUUUCAACAAAUGAGACAGGCAAAUGUUAAACCCAACUCUGUCACUGCUUCCAGCCAUCUAACUAGUCCGAGCAUUGGUCGUUCCAUACAUUCGUACAUAACAACAAAUGAGAUCAAAUUGGACGUUGCUUUAGGAACUGCUCUUGUCAACAUGUAUGCUAAGUGUGGGCACAUAGAGGAAGCUUUCCAAGUUUUCGAAUCCAUGGAGGAUAGGAACCUGCAGUCAUGGACAAUCAUGAUUUCAGGAUUUGCAGCUCAUGGCCAUAGGAAAGAAGCAAUCACUCUAUUCUCUCAAAUGGAAGCCAGUGGUCUGAAACCAGACAGCACUUCAUUCUCCAUGAUCUUAAGUGCUUGCAGCCACUUGGGUAUGGUAGAUGAAGGUUGGCACUAUUUUAGCAAGAUGGUGGAUGUUUACAAUAUCCAACCAACAAUUGAGCACUAUGGCUGCAUGGUUGAUUUGUUCGGACGUGCAGGAUUGGUAGAUACUGCUUUUGAGUUCAUCAAAAACAUGCCUAUUGCUCCAAACAGUGUUAUACUAAGGUCUUUCUUGGGAGCCUGUAGGAAAAAUGGUAAAAUUACUGCUGUUGAUGGUGAACUGUAUCAACUGAUGAAGCUUUUGCUCAGAGAGGAGCCUGAUCUUGGAGCAAACUAUGUGCUUGCUGCUAACAUGUCUGCAUCGUCUGAUAAAUGGAGUGAUGCAGCCAAGCUACACGGCAGCAUUUCAGAGAGGGGUUUGAAGAAGGUUGCUGGAUGCAGUUGGGUGGAAGUGCAUGGAAGAAGUGUUGAAUGGAAAGAAAUGGAAAUUGGUGGAUGACCAUGAUGCUGAACACUAAGCUCAAGCACAGUUAUAUGUUCAAAUUACAAUAUACGAGAAGCAGGGCGUAAAUGAUUCAAUCUUCUUUAGUAGUUUGUUACUGUGGGUAAUUACUAAAAGGUAUUGACUGAAUCUUUAUACAAUUCCUGAAAUUUUUAUGCA